rnacentral:rRNA from 1 species
UUAUGGUGGGCGACUCUAAGGAGGACUGCCGGUGACAAACCGGAGGAAGUGGGGAUGACGUCAAGUCAUCAUGGCCCUUACGGCCUGGGCUACACACGUGCUACAAUGGUCGGUACAAAGGGUUGCCAAGCCGCGAGGUGGAGCUAAAUCCCAUAAAACCGAUCGUAGUCCGGAUCGCAGUCUGCAACUCGACUGCGUGAAGUCGGAAUCGCUAGUAAUCGUGAAUCAGAAUGUCACGGUGAAUACGUUCCCGGGCCUU